GAGAGCCUUCCAAAUUUAAAGAGGUUGUUUGAUGGGAGUUUUUUCCUGUGCUCAAUAGCUCAUUGUUGUCGACUACUGAUCCACCGAAGCCACCAAACACGUUCACAUUGCUAUCAGGAACACUCUGAAAGCUUUUGAGGGACGAAUUUUGAUUUGAAGAGCGGAAACCAGAGUUAGUUUCUGUAAAAACGUCAUCCGAACUAUCUUUGGCGCUGUAAGUUAAUGUUUCGUAAGACGAGUUUUUGCUAGGUACGCGAGUCGAAGAAGGUGCUAAAAGUGUUUUGCGAAUACAGCUACUCAAUUGGAUGGCAGACUCCUUGCUCAAUUUAUUUUUAAAGGCGAAUUCCUCGGCUU